CCAGUACCUAAAACUUCAGGUGUAAAAUUGAGAUCAUUUGCCCAACUUCUCUAUCUGCAGACGCUGUCUCAACCAGGAGGACAUGAGGAAAAGAAUGCAGACAGUCAAGCACCUCGAUACACACAUAACUGGAGGGCAACAGGAUGCUUCACAAGAUGCAGAAACUGGGAACGACAGGGACCUUCUCCACUUCCAAGGAAGCGAAUAGACAAAGAUGCCUCAGGAUCCCUCGGCACUGCGCCUGUUUACUCCUUGGUGAAAAAGACUGUGCUGACUGCCUUUCAGGGAACUCAUCUUAAACAGUAAUUUUACGCCCAGCUCCACACCAGAGGGGUCUUGCAGAGGCCCCCACUAUGUCACUUAAUUCCUGAGAACAAUGCCCUCUUGGGGCCGUCUGAGGAGAAGGUAAGGAGACAGAAUGUCUUGCGUUCACUCUGCCAAGCCAGGAAUGCUGAGGUUAGAAGACUACUUCGGGAACAAAAAGAGAUAUGGAAAAUAAGAAAACGUGAGAGGAACACAAAACUGAGAAACAGAGGAAAAAUUUAAGAAAUCACACAGAAUAUGAGGCAACUAUUCUGAGGAGCAUUUCUAAAGUCCAGCUGAUUUGCAUGCUUGCUUUAAGACGGACAGAGACAUUCUGAUCUUUAUUUGCUUCCAGUAAUCUGCUUAAACUUCAAAGCGCAGCUUUAAGACCCCCAAAUUUUGAUUGCCUAUUUCAAUAUGUGGUUGAAAAUUGAGUAUCAAUUUCCUUCCCUUCUAAGUUAG
rnacentral:lncRNA from 1 species